rnacentral:rRNA from 1 species
GAUGAACGCUGGCGGCGUGCCUAAUACAUGCAAGUCGAGCGAACAGAUCCAGAGUUUGCUCCUCUCUCGAUUGCGGCGGACGGGAGAGUAACACGUGGAAACUCUCCCUAACUGAGUGGGAAAACUUGGGGAAUGCGGAGCAAACACCGGAGAAUAUCUUGAACCGCAUGGUUCAAGAAUGAAAUACGGUUUUGGUGUAACUUAUAGACUGUUCCGCGCCGGAUUAGGUAGUUGGUAGGGUAACGGCUUACCAAGGCCACGAUGGGUAGACGAUGUGAGAGAGUGGUCGCCGACACGGGAGCUGGGACGGCGACCUUGCUCCUACGGGACGCAGCAGUAGGGAAUGUGCGGCAGUGGUGGGAAGCCUGACGGAGUGAGGCCGCGCGUGAGAUGAAGGUCUUGGGAUCGUAAUGCUCUGUUACUAGUGGAAAACAAAUGUGGAAGUAACUGUGCACGUAUUGACGGUACCUGAUGAGAAAGCAACGGCUAACUACGUG